CCUCAAUGGCCGCCAAGUCCUAAUUCGGGUAGAUCAAAUUCGCCGUUGCUCCGUGACACAUUGAGGAUGUUGGCGCCUCGUCCAGGAGAGCCAGGGUCAGAAGACAAUCCCGGAACUAUCACACCUGG